UCGGACUCCUCGGCGCUCUUGGCGCCCCCGCUCUCCACCCGCCGCAGAUGAAGGCCCCCGCCGCGGCCGCCGCGCUGAGAAGGCAGCGAGCCACUCCCGCCGCCUCCGGCGCUCCCGCUGCAGCUGCCGCCGCCCCUCGCCGGGAGCCGCUGUUGGAAGCCGAAGCCCCGGAUUCUUCGUCCUCCGUGUCCUGGGAAGCGCGCUGCCGCCGCCGGUCCGCCAUCUUACGGAGAACGGCCGCCGCUGGUCAGCUCCUGACGCACCACGCCCGUCGCGGAGGCUGCCGGGAAGCUCGAGACUCCGGAGUCCCGGCAUGCCUCAUGCCCAGGGAGGGCCGCCCUUCUCUCCGCGGGGCGGGGCCUGCGCCCUGCGGCACGUUUUCUGGAGAGCGAGGUGACGUCUGUCGGUGAUGGUGGUUUCCCUGCAACAGUUGAUGGCCAAGGGUAUCAAACCUUAAACUCAGAACAUGGCAGUUUCAUAGCCCUGGAGCAGCCUGUGCCUUUCCUUCUCAUUAUCCCUCUUCACCAGCUGCAUCCGCCUUUCCAUACGUUCAAUCCGAGCAAGGAGCUAGAAGGAGGUGACAAGGAAGGAUAUGCUGUGUUACAAGGGCAAGGCCAUCAUGCCCUAGACUGCACUACAGUGCUGAGCUGUGCCACUCCAUGUUGAGUAACUUCCACAA
rnacentral:lncRNA from 1 species